rnacentral:lncRNA from 1 species
UGCUUUGUUAAUAUUUCUUUUAUUUUAAUAAAGAAGAGAUCGUAGGUCCCGAUUUGUUUGUCGCCACUUUAUGUUUCGUGCGAGGCCGACCUUUUGGGGGCAUGUGUCGAUUUUUGUAAAUAUUCUUAUCGACAGUUUUGAUGUAACAAAAGAUUUUGUUUAUUAGUUUUGUCGCGCUUGUUGGCGGAGUUGGCCGCAACCGAGGACUUGAUCAG